UACGGAGGGGGCUAGCGUUGUUCGGAAUUACUGGGCGUAAAGCGCACGUAGGCGGCUUUGUAAGUUAGAGGUGAAAGCCCAGGGCUUAACCCUGGAAUUGCCUUUAAGACUGCAUCGCUAGAAUUGUGGAGAGGUAAGUGGAAUUCCGAGUGUAGAGGUGAAAUUCGUAGAUAUUCGGAAGAACACCAGUGGCGAAGGCGACUUACUGGACACAUAUUGACGCUGAGGCGCGACAGCGUGGGGAGCAAACAGG
rnacentral:rRNA from 1 species